UACGUAGGGUGCGAGCGUUGUCCGGAAUUAUUGGGCGUAAAGGGCUCGUAGGCGGCCUGUUGCGUCUGCCGUGAAAGCCCGGGGCUUAACUCCGGGUCUGCGGUGGAUACGGGCAGGCUAGAGUUCGGUAGGGGAGACUGGAAUUCCUGGUGUAGCGGUGAAAUGCGCAGAUAUCAGGAGGAACACCGGUGGCGAAGGCGGGUCUCUGGGCCGACACUGACGCUGAGGUGCGAAAGCGUGGGGAGCAAACAGGAUUAGAUACCCCUGUAGUCCCUGA
rnacentral:rRNA from 1 species